UGCGUUGGGGCUGUGAUCCAGAGCAUGAGUUAUGUUGUGGCAUCUCCGUAGCCGCGAGGGUGUCGGGAAGAUGCAGGGAGCAGGAUUUGCUCACGGCUCUCUGAAACAAAAGCGAGAGGCUCUUCCUUGUGCUGCAACCAAGAACUAACAGCAGAUGGUCCCUCCGGUGCCCAGAUCGUCCCAGCCAAAACACAUCUCUCUUCCCCGGCUGAAGGGAAGGGGACAGGAAUAGCGCCGGUGUGUGACUCAGAUCCACUGAACUACAGCACGGUCGGUGCAUAUCUGCAACCCGACGGUGCUGGCAGAAAAGCACAGAGAGCAGCGUGCGUGGGACAUCGCUCGUCGUAAUUCCGGAUGGGUUUUUCCAAAAAGCUUAAGUGACUUAGGCACGGCAGUCAUAUUGACCAGCCAAGCGAUGUAGCGCUCGAUUGUCUCCGGGACAUUCGGCUGAAUGGGUGCUCUUCCCUCCGCCCUCCCCGUGAGCACACCCGAGAACGUGCGCCUGCCAGAUCAUUUGAAUUUGUCUGGCUUCUGCUUCCUGCCAUUGGGUCGUGCUAUUUAUUCUCUUCACCACUAGACUAAAGAGCCCUUUCGAGUUCGGUAUUUCCCCCCAGUGAAAGUACUAACGUGC